rnacentral:tRNA from 1 species
AGCCCUGUGGAGCCGAGUGAUUUAAGGCGCUUGUUUUACAUGCAAGAAUUCGCAGGUUUGAAUCCUGCCAGGGCUA